UUAAAUUGAAGAGUUUGAUCAUGGCUCAGAUUGAACGCUGGCGGCAGGCCUAACACAUGCAAGUCGAACGGUAACAGGAAGCAGCUUGCUGCUUCGCUGACGAGUGGCGGACGGGUGAGUAAUGUCUGGGAAACUGCCUGAUGGAGGGGGAUAACUACUGGAAACGGUGGCUAAUACCGCAUAACGUCGCAAGACCAAAGAGGGGGACCUUCGGGCCUCUUGCCAUCAGAUGUGCCCAGAUGGGAUUAGCUAGUUGGUGAGGUAACGGCUCACCAAGGCGACGAUCCCUAGCUGGUCUGAGAGGAUGACCAGCCACACUGGAACUGAGACACGGUCCAGACUCCUACGGGAGGCAGCAGUGGGGAAUAUUGCACAAUGGGCGCAAGCCUGAUGCAGCCAUGCCGCGUGUAUGAAGAAGGCCUUCGGGUUGUAAAGUACUUUCAGCGGGGAGGAAGGUGUUGUGGUUAAUAACCACAGCAAUUGACGUUACCCGCAGAAG
rnacentral:rRNA from 1 species